UGUGACAGGUUAGUACAGUGGUGAACCUAUAGAUCUUCAGUGUGUGACAGUGGUGAACCUAUAGAUCUUCAGUGUGACAUGUUAGUACAGUGGUGAACCUAUAGGCCAUCUGUGUGACAUGUUAGUACAGUGGUGAACCUAUAGAUCUUCAGUGUGUGACAGGUUAGUACAGUGGUGAACCUAUAGGUCUUCAGUGUGUGACAGGUUAGUACAGUGGUGAACCUAUAGGUCUUCAGUGUGUGACAGGUUAGUACAGUGGUGAACCUAUAGGUCUUCAGUGUGUAACAGGUUAGUACAGUGGUGAACCUAUAGGUCUUCAGUGUGUAACAGGUUAGUACAGUGGUGAACCUAUAGGUCUUCAGUGUGUAACAGGUUAGUACAGUGGUGAACCUAUAGGUCUUCAGUGUGUGACAGUGGUGAACCUAUAGGUCUUCAGUGUGUGACAGUGGUGAACCUAUAGGUCUUCAGUGUGUGAC